rnacentral:sRNA from 1 species
GUUCGAUUCGAGCGUAGCGAGAAAGCGUUGCCGCAGGCAACGACCCGAAGGGUGAGGAGCAAAGCGACGAAUUAUCCUUCCCCCACCACCA